rnacentral:lncRNA from 1 species
CAACAGUGUCCUUAUUAGGCCAUUAUGCAAUGGACAAGACAUUAGGGAACACGAUUUUCCUUCACUGGAGCCACACCCAUGGACCUCAAAUCUAGAAGGUGGAGCCAUUCCAACCAAAGUCUGAGCCCUGCAUCAUCACAUGAUACUCACAAUCAGCAUGAUGCUAAGAUAUCAUCGGAUAAUAAAGAAACUAACACCAUCUACAUAAGCAAGCAGAAAGGGAACAUAUGCAAAACCAGGAAGAUGGCAUGAAACAACAGAUGAUUAUUUACAUGAUCUAUUCUUGAUGCAAAGCAUGCAAACAUUGAGCAUGUUCUUGUGCAGGAUGAGCCUAACAAACAACAAAAUUGAAAUGAGAACUUGGUGAUGGUUAAAAGGACCCAUGAAUCGUAUGUCGAGUCAACAAGAAAUAGUGCCUGCUUGCCUUUGAAUCAUGGAACUUGAGGUAAAAGCGGGACUUGGGAAUGGACAGCUUUGAUUCCAGAAUAGAAGCAACACCAGCACUCAGCUUCUUGUUGACACCAGGGUUCAGCCCUCCAAUGGAAACCAGCUCACCAUAAGCUGCAGGCUCCUGGGUGCCUCCAAAUGCCAUAGGCACUGAACCUUUGAGAACAACCAUCACGUACUGGGAGAGGACAAGCACUCCAGUCAAAUCCUCAAGAUGAUAGUACACAAGCGAAAUGGCUUUGGUUAAAUAUUUCAACCACAGAAAAACAAUAAAAAUCUAAAUUUUCAUCAAUUUAAGUAUAUCACCACAGGUCACCCACCAGAAAUCCAAAGAGUGACAGUAUGAGAAUGAUAAAGGAAAAGCACGCGCCCAAACUAUGUAGCAAAGCAGCUGCCUGACUAACACUAAUAUGAAGUGACCAAUAAACAGGAACUUUCAAACUUCAUCUAUAUCAACUGUUGGCUGCAGUAUUUUAGGGAUAACAUACAGGAAAAGCAGCCCAUGAUCUCCAAGUUUGCACUUGAUAUUGCUGAAGAAUAGUAAAGUAGGGGUUGCUGGUUGCUAGAAAUCUAGUCCAGAAAAAAAAAGUGAGCAGAGACUUUUGUCAGUUAGUUUGUUGUAAAUACAUCUGUUCUCACUUCUCUGCGGCUUGAUAUCAUGUUUCUAUUCAGUAGUCAGAUUGGCAAGAUAGUGAAAUUGAUAGACGAAUGGCUUGAUAUUUCUUUCACUGAGUGACCACAAUGGUUAUUAUAUCAAUCCUAGAUAGGCACUGGGGAUACCGUCUCAGAGACAGACUAUUGAGUUAUCUGGUUCCCUUCGUCAAUGCUGAAUCUGUCAAAAUUACAGGUUCAAAUCAUAUAUGAACUCGAUUCUGGGAGACUGCAAUCAUGUUCUGGGAUUUUUUGGUUGUGUCAUGUAAAUAUCAUCAAAAUUUUCGAGUGAGUGCAGUGAGAAUCAACAUCGGGGUGUCCAUGAUAAACCUAGAGAAUACUCCCCCAAAAUGAAUAAAAGCCUAGAGGUCAAAUUCCCCAAUUGUAGUAUUUAUCAAAGGGGAAUGUUGCGAGAUUUUACUGAUUCACAUGAAUUCUCUUUAAACUACCAUCGGAAAACACGAUUAAUCGAUUGAUAGCCAACAGAAAGGUGACAUGCAGUGAUGCACAUCCUGCUCAAAAUCCUAACAGGUUGCAGGAGCCAAUUACAAAAUGGAAGCAUAAUCUCCACCAACCAAAUAGAUGCAAGAGGAGAGACGUCCUACACAGGCAAUGAAUCGCGUGGGGGGAGAAAGAAGAUGGGGGGAAAGGGAAAGGGAAAGGGAAAGGGAGAGGCGAGGCUUACGGCCUCUGGCUUGCCGAUGGUGUCGGCGACGACCUUGGAGGCUUCGGCGAGGAUGGCGGAGGUGUCCACACCCUCCAGGUUGACGUUCGUCGACACGUUCAGGCACGGCAUCCUCAGACCCUCGCUUCGUCUUCCUCUUCCUUCUCCUGCCUGGGUGCUCCUCUGGCCACAGCCGCCUUCUCCGCCUCUGCUCUGC